UACGUAGGGCGCAAGCGUUGUCCGGAAUUGUUGGGCGUAAAGAGCCCGUAGGCGGUCUGUUGCGUCCGCUGUGAAAACUCGGGGCUUAACCCCGAGCCUGCAGUGGAUACGGGCAGACUAGAGGUAGGUAGGGGAGAAUGGAAUUCCCGGUGUAGCGGUGAAAUGCGCAGAUAUCGGGAGGAACACCGGUGGCGAAGGCGGUUCUCUAGGCCUUACCUGACGCUGAGGAGCGAAAGCGUGGGGAGCGAACAGG
rnacentral:rRNA from 1 species